GCAAACUUGGUCAUUUAGAGGAAGUAAAAGUCGUAACAAGGUUUCCGUAGGUGAACCUGCGGAAGGAUCAUUAACGAGUUUUGAAAUGGGUUGUAGCUGGCCUCACGAAGGCAUGUGCACACCCUGCUCAUCCACUCUCAUACCCCUGUGCACCUAUUGUAGGCUUGGUGGGAAGACUGGUGUCACAGCCAGUUGGAAAGCCUUGCCUAUGCUUUAACACAAACGCUUCAGUUUUAGAAUGUCACUUUUGCGUCUAACGCAUGAAAUACAACUUUCAGCAACGGAUCUCUUGGCUCUCGCAUCGAUGAAGAACGCAGC
rnacentral:misc_RNA from 1 species